rnacentral:rRNA from 1 species
UACAGAGGGGGCAAGCGUUAUUCGGAAUUACUGGGCGUAAAGGGCGCGUAGGCGGUUCUUUAAGUCGGAUGUGCAAUCCCCGAGCUCAACUUGGGAACUGCAUCCGAAACUGGGGAGCUAGAGUACUGGAGAGGGUGGUAGAAUUCCACGUGUAGCGGUGAAAUGCGUAGAGAUGUGGAGGAAUACCAGUGGCGAAGGCGGCCACCUGGACAGUAACUGACGCUGAGGCGCGAAAGUGUGGGUAGCAAACAGGAUUAGAAACCCGUGUAGU